CUUGCACAUGUUCCGGGAAGCAGCCCUCACAAAUGUAGCCAAUGUAGGACAAGCAGUAAUCUGGGAAAUUGUAACAUAAGAUCACAUAAUGGCAGUGGCUUUUGAAUGAUAAGGAAACUGAUAAGGACUAUUAAGAAAGGAACACAGGAGACUAAAAAUCUGAAAGAUUUCCUCUAACACUGCCCAAAAAGAGUGUGAUCUGAUUUUAGAUGAAUUGUACUGGUUCUUUGGACUAAAAUAUCCCUCCAGCAGAGAAAGGCAAUUCAUCAAGCAACCAGAGCUAGAAAGUAAUUCUCUGAAAGAACAUCCGGCUGCCCUGGCUCGUGGUCUUUGCUUACCCAGAAGAGAAUCUGCAAUUUGGCCAUCUGAGUGCUGUUGACCAGCAUGGGUUCUUUUAGUGAUGAUCCUGCUGGGAGAUAAUAUGGGAUAUUGGUUUAUCAAUCACUCUCUGUUUUGGUGAUGCGGAUGGAAUGCUAAUAGAAACAUGACUUUCUGGAAAAGGAAAGCCCUAGCAGACUAACACAGCUGGCAAGUCAGAAGCCUCAGACUCCAAGACCCUGACUGCAGUGCUAUCACACCUCUGUCAGCAGAGUUGGCUAAUGAAUCUUGGAAAAAUCAGAGGUCUUCUCACAAAAUAAGGAUCCUGUGAAGGAGAGUAAUCAAGGAAAAGUUGCAAUCUCUUCAGACCUCUAUCAUCAAAAAGGAGGCCCAGUGCAUUAUUGCACCGAGAAGUUCUCUGUAGGGGUGAUCAUAAGGGACCUUCAAAUGUUUGAGGAAACAUCAUCAGUAGAUAAUGUAGCCCUCAGACAACUGCACUGUUUCUCUGCAGUAAAGCUACCCUUGGUCACUCGGGAGCUUCCUAGAGAUUGAGUAAUUAUUUUGGCACACCUUGCAGACAGUUAUCUUUAUCAUGGGAGUCAUCCAAUAGAAAAGGCGGUAUAAAACCUGUCCCUGAUGUUAGCUAAAGUGAUUAGUUACACUAUCUUUGUCCUGGAAAGCAUUCAGAUUAGCCUUAACUUAUUAGCCAGGGUUGUUAUGGUUGACAGAAUUGCCUUAGGCUUUUUUUCUGUGGGCCAAUGCAGAGGCUGUGCAAUCACUAGUCCAUCCUGCUAUGUCUUGAUCAAUAGCUUGGGCCAAUUUGAAAGGUCAAUACAAAAACUUAAGGAGAAAGCCACCUGGAUCUCUAAGGUAACCCCGAUAGCUUACAGGAUUUGUUCAGCUGGGUCUGGGACUCUUUGGGGUACAGUUGAGGUCAGUACUGCAGGUUGGCUCCAUCCUGUUACUUGAAGUCCUGUUGAUACUGGACUAAUUGAAUGCUGUAUGAGACAGAUUGAAAAGAUUUGGUUUCAGCCUCACCUCAUCUGAUUAAUUGAAGUGGUCAACAGUGGGAGAUUCAUGGGAAGAUUCUCCAGAAGCUAAGAUGCUAUAGAAAUGAGGGGUUGAUGGUGCCCUUUCAUUCUGCAGCAGCAGGUAAGAGAGAGGAGGAGAAAUCUUCAUCACCUUUACAUUUGGAUCAUAUAAUGCAUUCCCUAAUGUAUUAUGAAAUAUCAUCCUAAUGAAUUCAUCUUAAACAUGAUACUUAUCAGAGUAAUGAACAGAAUGCCUAGAAGUCCAGGACUGCUCCUGUUAGUUACAUCAGAA
rnacentral:lncRNA from 10 species